AAGGGAUGAAGGUCCAUCUUCUAUAACUUCUUUAAGCUGAAUCCAGGUGUUGAUAUGGGACCCAUUAGAGCAGUGAAAUCUUUCCUAGCUAGUCUUGGGUAGGUCUAGUUAUCUCCUGGGUAUAAGCCUAGCUGUUCAUAUUGCUAUAUGGCCUCAACUUGCUUAGACACAAAAGAAACAAGGCAGUUUAAGAAACGGGGCCCAAAGAUCAAGAGAAGUAGGAUAUCAGCUAAAGUGCCCAGGAAGGCACAACAGGAAGUGUUGGUGACUACACACACCCUACCUUGUUCUGCCAAGAGGUCAUCAAGAGCCGGAUGGUUAUAACGCACGAUAUUGGCUAGGGUAGACUCUGGAUGAAACAAGGUGACUCCAAGAGCAAAGCUUAGAAUACCUGAAUACCUGCAAGCAAGACAAGUAGAUUAAGUCCUGACAGAAAAGUAUACGCGGGCCCAAGCUAUUUUUAGCCUCUGUGGACAGCUCCAUAGGGAGAAUGAACUAUUCGUCAACGUCACCCAUAUUUUACUGAAGAUUUUGAAGGUAUUCCAAUGUGACUGACUACUACGUUUCCUCACAUGUGUGCUGCUGUAUCUGAGAUCACCAUGUUUUCAAUUAUCUCAUAUGAACCUGUUUCUGUUCAGAAAAAAUCCUUCC
rnacentral:lncRNA from 10 species